UACAGAGGGUGCGGGCGUUGUUCGGAAUUAUUGGGCGUAAAGGGCGCGUAGGCGGUGCGGUAAGUCACCUGUGAAAUCUCCUGGCUCAACCGGGAGCUUGCAGGCGAAACUGCCGUGCUGGAGUAUGGGAGAGGUACGUGGAAUUCCUGGUGUAGCGGUGAAAUGCGUAGAUAUCAGGAGGAACACCUGUGGCGAAAGCGGCGCACUGGACCAUAACUGACGCUGAGGCGCGAAAGCCAGGGGAGCAAAUGGG
rnacentral:rRNA from 1 species